rnacentral:rRNA from 1 species
AUUGAACGCUGGCGGCAUGCCUUACACAUGCAAGUCGAACGGCAGCACGGGUGCUUGCAUCUGGUGGCGAGUGGCGCACGGGUGAGUAAUCCAUUGGAACAUGUCCUGUUGUGGGUGAUAGCCCGGCGAAAGCCGGAUUAAUACAGCAUACGAUCUACGGAUGAGAGUGGUUGACCUUUGGGACUCGCUCUUUAUGGUUGGUCGAUGUCUGAUUAGCUAGUUGGUGGGGUAAAGGCCUACCAAGGCGACGAUCAGUAGCUGUUCUGAGAGGACGACCGGCCACACUGGAACUGAGACACGGCCCAGACUCCUACGGGAGGCAGCAGUAGGGAAUUUUCGGCAAUGGGCGAAAGCCUGAUCCAGCAAUGCCGCGUGUGUGAAGAAGGUCUUCGGGUUGUAAAGCACUUUUGUCCGGGAAGAAAACCUGGGCACGAAUACGGUCAGGGGAUGACGGUACCGGAAGAAUAAGCAACGGCUAACUACGUG